rnacentral:rRNA from 1 species
UGGGGAAUAUUGCACAAUGGGCGCAAGCCUGAUGCAGCCAUGCCGCGUGUGUGAAGAAGGCCUUCGGGUUGUAAAGCACUUUCAGCGAGGAGGAAGGCGUUAAGGUUAAUAACCUUGGCGAUUGACGUUACUCGCAGAAGAAGCACCGGCUAACUCCGUGCCAGCAGCCGCGGUAAUACGGAGGGUGCAAGCGUUAAUCGGAAUUACUGGGCGUAAAGCGCACGCAGGCGGUUUGUUAAGUCAGAUGUGAAAUCCCCGAGCUUAACUUGGGAACUGCAUUUGAAACUGGCAAGCUAGAGUCUUGUAGAGGGGGGUAGAAUUCCAGGUGUAGCGGUGAAAUGCGUAGAGAUCUGGAGGAAUACCGGUGGCGAAGGCGGCCCCCUGGACAAAGACUGACGCUCAGGUGCGAAAGCGUGGGGCAGCAAACAGGAUUAGAUACCCUGGUAGUCCACGCUGUAAACGAUGUCGAUUUGGAGGUUGUGGGCUUGACCCGUGGCUUCCGGAGCUAACGCGUUAAAUCGACCGCCUGGGGAGUACGGCCGCAAGGUUAAAAC